GCAUAUGUGGUGUAGUGGUAUGCACGGCGUGAUUAGGCAAUUAAUGCUGAAUGACGCGGGUGCAGGUUCAACUCCUGCCUUAUGCA